CCUCACGUUUUCUUUCUGAAAAAAAACAACAUUCGAGCAAGCUCUCCUCUCUCAAUCUCUCGCUGUGAACAACAACAACAACAAUGAUCUCAUAUUCUCCCUCGGUAUUCAUCUCUCUCGCUCUCAGCUCACUCUCUCGGCGUGAUUCUCUCACUCUCAAAAUUCAUGGCUAAACGGAUUCAUGAACAACAACAAUAUAUAAAAGCAAUAACCCAUAACCCCAAUUGAAAACCCUAAAGCCCCAAUUUCAGCAUAGUUGGUGGUAUUACAUUUUACACAGUAAAGAAAUGAAGGGUUAGCGACGAGCAAUACAUGAAAAGAGAAAUGGAAUUGACAAAGACUACACCUUAUUCAACAACGAUUCUCCUCGGGUUUGGCUUGUUUUGUGCAGAGUCUCUGGGCUGGUAAUGGAGCAGAAUAAACCGCAGGGCUGAUAGUGAUGGGGCAACCUGAUGAAGAUAGAACCAACAACUCUUUUUUCUCUUUUUUUUAUUUAUUUACUGAAGCUGUAUGUAUUAUUAUUUUUGUUAUAAAAGUUUUCAUGGAUUGUUGGAAUGA